rnacentral:lncRNA from 1 species
ACUAACAUAACUAAAACUUAUUUCCAAUUAGUUGGCAUUGAUAUAAUGAGUGCCUAGGUGAGCACUUCCAAGCAAUAUAUUCCAUAUUGUAGGAUCCAUCGUGAAUUGACUUAAUUUUACGGUGCAUGUCAACUUACCACAUAGGAGCUUUGGAGCAACGAUAAGGUUGUCUCCCUGUAACUUAUCGGUUAGGAGUUCGAGCCGUGGAAUCAGUCACUGAUGUUUGCACUAGAGAGGUUACCUAUAUCACACCCCUUAGGGUGCGGUCCUUUUCUGGAUCUUUUGUGAAUGCCGGAUGCUUCAUGCACCAGGCUGCCCUUGAUCAACUUACGAGAAUCCUCCCAUUUUAUUCGUGCUUGAAACCGAUAAUUUAGGUUAACUUAGGCGGUGUUUCGGAUGAUUUCUAACUGAAGUAUCUCGGUUAAAUUUGCAGUUGGCAAUUGGAGGUAUUUUAUCAGUCAAUUUGAGGGA